UAUUCGUACUGACUUUACAGAUCCUACUGAGUAUAUACAGCGUAUUUAUGUGAGGAAAGUACUAAUUUCCAUACUUUCUAUGUAUAUACUAUGUAUUUACGUGAAAGAUAUACAAAUUUAAAUAUAUAGUCAAGUAAUACGUUGUAUCUCUACGCAAAAAAUACUAUGUUGAAAAAGUGUCCGGAAUAUAUCGAGUAUAAACUUUGUAUUUCUGGUUUAAAGUCCCUACAACUACACAACCUUACUGUGUCGGUGUGCCCGUCGACCAUUUUCUCUCUAUUUGACAAAGUUGUGACAUGUCUGAUGGUGAAUAAAAAUGUGCGUCGCUCAGUGGAAAAAGAUUAUUAAAAGAUCGAGCAGCCAGAUCCACCAGGAUUGUUACGUUCCCGGAACUACCAUCGCACGCAGAUCAGUUACCGAAAGUCCUCUAUACUGGCCUCUACUAUGGAUAGUUGGUAAAGAUUUUCAUGCCCAUGCAAACAAAGCGAAUAAAACUGAGUGCCUGGAUAAUGCGAUGUGAUGCUCAGAAAUUAAGUACAGGAUUUGCAGGACUUUCAAUCUUGAGAGUAUCGCGAAGGACGAAUAGGACGUUCUUCAAAUCUAUGAGAGAAAUAUCCGCUAGGAUAUUCUCCAAUACUUGUGACUGCAGAGGUUGGAUCUAUAGAUCUCACCUGUAGAUCUCUAUCCCUCCUCCUCGAUACUCUACUAGAGAUUGAAAGUCUCUCAAAUCACGCACUUAAUUACUAAACGUCAAAUCGUAUUAUUGCAGAGUUCGUUUUUAUUCACUUGCACUGCUGUGGGACACAAUUUUUUUUACCAAAUAUGUGCCUAGCCACAUUGUAUUUUAAAAAAAAAGUUCCGAAAAUAAAUAUUUAUAGAAAAUAAAAA